rnacentral:rRNA from 1 species
AGGACAAUGUAUGGUGGGUAGUUUGACUGGGGCGGUCUCCUCCUAAAGAGUAACGGAGGAGUACGAAGGUGCGCUCAGACCGGUCGGAAAUCGGUCGUAGAGUAUAAAGGCAAAAGCGCGCUUGACUGCGAGACAGACACGUCGAGCAGGUACGAAAGUAGGUCAUAGUGAUCCGGUGGUUCUGAAUGGAAGGGCCAUCGCUCAACGGAUAAAAGGUACUCCGGGGAUAACAGGCUGAUACCGCCCAAGAGUUCAUAUCGACGGCGGUGUUUGGCACCUCGAUGUCGGCUCAUCACAUCCUGGGGCUGAAGCCGGUCCCAAGGGUAUGGCUGUUCGCCAUUUAAAGUGGUACGUGAGCUGGGUUUAAAACGUCGUGAGACAGUUUGGUCCCUAUCUUCCGUGGGCGCUGCAAGAUUGAGAGAGCCUGCUCCUAGUACGAGAGGACCGGAGUGGACG